rnacentral:piRNA from 1 species
UAGCCAUUGAACCUGGGCUGAGGAUGG